UUUGUAUUUCUACUUGCUUGUUCUGCAAAUAUGUAGUUUGAGUGAUACAGAGCAUGAAAGAUCUAUCCAAGAGAUGCCCUUCUUUUUCUCUGUUUGUUGUGCUACAGUGCCUGAAAGUGCGAUACUAUAUAUUGUACCGUUUUAUUUAUUUAUUGUAUUUUGCAUGCGAGUCAUCAGUUGAGAUUUUUGCAAAUGUAACAUUUUUUUACAAAUUUCAUACAAACAGAGUAAAUGCAUUUUAUAUAUGCCUAAGUGACUACGUAUAAGCGUAAAUGCCUGCCUUCUGCCCCUCAGCGAAUGCUGUGAAGUGUUUCCUUCAGUUAAGAAGUCGAGUUGAACUCACGAGGGCUUAAAUCAGAGAUUUGUUUGAUUGAUGAAGCUGCUAAGUGCUACACCACCUACUGCACUUCCCUGAUUUAAGCCCUCAUGAGUUCAACUCUAUUUCUAAACUGAAGGAAACAGUUCAUGACAUUUGCUUCAGAACUGCUAUAAAUUCGUCGGGCAAUAGACCAUGCCGCUCAAACUGUCAACACAACUGGCACUGCUAAGAGUAUCCUAUGACUUCCACAUCACUGGCAAUGGGUUAUACACAAUGCUGGUGACUACUUUGAAGGAAAUAGGGUCUUUUGUGCAAUAAAAGUACUGGGCCUUGUCCAGAAACCAUGAGCUUCAAUUCAAACAACUAUCAUUCUUGUUGUACAGAUCAAGGGACUGUGACAACUGCUAUUGCAGAAGUAGCAGAAGAUAUAAAAAGUCCUCUGAACUAUUCAAGUGGGACAAAAUUUAAGAAUUGCUCAACUGCCAACACCUGGACUGUAAGGGGACUGAAGAGCUUGACUGCAGCAACAACCUGCAUCGAGUCCCUUCCAUUCAAGCACCAGAACUCCAGUACUUGGUGCAUGGUCCUUACAAGGGACGCAGAUGGACUUUAUCUGUCAUUUUUGCUGAAAGAGAGUCCAACUGAAAUGCUUCUGAGAGCAAAUGUAAGAGCAGACGAGAUUCUUCGUACUGGAGAAAAGCGAGAAGUGUUCCCGAGCACGUGGUAUGAUUUGGAUGAAGGAGAGAACACUGAAAUGCUGCUUGUUAGGAAAACUGAAACUGCAGGAGAGGGCGAUGACGAAGAUGAGAUAACCUUGCAGUGUGAAGUCUGCAUGCAGUGCAUUGUACAGGAUGAGCUACCUGUGGUAGACACGACAGAAGUACAAGCUGAUGUAGUAAGGGGUCUAUAUGAGAUGUUGCUCAAAGAAGUCCACACAGACUUUGAGCUUCAUGCAGAAGACACUGUUCUCAAGGCACACAGAGCACUACUGUCUGUACGGAGCCCUUACUUUGCUGACAUGCUGCAGCCUGACACAAAGGAAGCACAGGAAGGCUUCGCACAGGUCUCAGAUGUGAAGCCGGAGGUAUUGAAACAGGUUCUAUUGUAUAUGUACACGGGUGUUGCUCCGGCUCUCAAAGACAUGUCGUGGGACCUACUGAAAGCAGCUGACAAAUACCAACUCCGGCAGUUGAAGCGCCAGUGCGAAGCACACAUUGCCAAGUGUCUGAAUGUGGAAAAUGCUGCAGAAACUGCAGCCAAUGCCUCUGUUUUCUCGUGCGACAUGCUGUGGGACCGAGCCGUCCUUUUCAUCAAGCGCAACCUCAGUGAGGUGAUGUGCACGCCUGGAUGGACUGAAGCAGGAGCUACACAUCCGGAAGCCAUACAGCGUAUUAACGAGCUGAUGGAAUGAGCCAGUGAGAGAAUUUGGCUUUUCACUGUGGGCAUGACACUUCACCAGAUGACCAAGGGAAGCCUCCCAGAAACAUUGCUCGGACUGGGCAAUAUAGAACGACCAAUGAAACCUGCUCUUUGAGGGAGACUGCAUUGGACGAUGGACAACUGAAGGCACCAAUAGAUGUCUCUGCAGUGAAGGUGUCGUGAGUCUACACAACAGUAGCCAUUCUAGCAGAGGGAUUAAAUCAGCAGCUCUUUAUACCUUCAAGUGGCACUCAUUGCAAUUUUGGAACCGAUUACUGCAUUUUGUUACACCAUAACUGUGCUCCUACUAAGAUGAAGCUAUAACAUCAGCAGAUGGAAGACAGAAGAAACAGAAUUCAAAGGUGAUUUAGAGAGAUCCCCACGAAAUUCAUUUCCAGGAGUUCCAGGAAUAAUUUGGUAUGCAAUAAACGGGAACUCAGGACAUGUUAUUGAACACUGAACUCGGCUGACUUUAGUUUAGCACUAAUGACAAAUGAAGAAAUUCAUCAUAUGCUUUAUCAAGAUAAAUCAACUUUGAUAUUUCUUUCUUUUAAUAAUAUAAUAAUUCACUUCAGUCGUCUUCUGCACAACCAACACAUUUCUUAAUUACUGUUUCAAAUUACACCUUCAUCUCUAUUUUACUCAGAAAUGUCAUUCCAUUGUAAAAUGAAGAAAGUUAAGGAUGAAGUUCCCUUUUGAUAGUCCGUGGUCAACAAUUACUGUUUUGUGACCCAUUUUUUUAUUUUUUAAUGGAAAACAUUUGUAUUGUCCAAUGAAUUUAUAACUGAAAAAAUGUAACUAAAACCAAAUAAAUGUAAAACA